AUAGAUAGGAACCCCCCGUGUCCCGCACCAGGGCAUGAGAGCCUUUCUACACCGCUCAUCUUCGAUCGCCGGUGCAGAUUGCCGCCUCUGUGAUUUCUGCCCUGGACGGAGGAGAAUCGUUUUUUUCUGUCAGGGUGAGUGAGGGGAUAUGCUCUUCGGCGUUGGACGAGCGCCUCCUCCCCCUUGGUGGAAUACCCCAUCCGGGUUAAACGAAGUAAGAAAAACGCGCUCGAGUGCAUGUAAAACGGGCUGGAGCCCUUGUGGGAACGCAAUGAGUCGCGGUGGUCGCGCAAGUUGUCUUGCCUAUUCUGUUCUGGCCGGGCUUCCCUCCCGGGAGCCUGGUCCUUAGAGCAAGUGUUUGAUUACUGCACUAUUGUUAGUAUGAACUUAAAAUGCACCUUCUUCGUCCGAUAUCAUUCCGUUCGGCCCCAUGUCUGUGCUAUGACUAUCUUGGAGAAGUUGACGUGGGGAGAUGGGGAGUCAGAUGAGCCUUGAUGGGUGCCGUUCUGGUGCUCGGCUUGAUUCCUUCUUUCCUGCUCAAUCUCAUCGAACAUCUCCAGUUUCGUCUCCUCUCCUCAGAGUAUUUGGAGCUUCUUCCGCUGCUCCUUUCACUACCGUUGGCAUGUAUUCGUUACUAAUUUCAGGUCUGCGAGUAAAGCUUCACCGCUCAUUCAUGCUUGUUUUUAUUUAUUUAUUUAUUAUUUUUACUAUUUUACUUUGGAAA